CGUUUAGUUUUGAUCUUCUUUUUCUUAUCUCUUGGAGUCUGUCUGGCCCUCAGACGUGAGCUUAUGCACCAGAUUCCAUAGUUUCAUCAAGAGGAUUCAACAAGGAGAAGGGGAAUUCUUGACGCUUGAGUCUGGCUACUCAGACGUGCGCUUCUGUACCAGAUUCCAUAGUUUCAUCAAGAGGAUUCAACAAGAAGAAAGGGAAUUCUUGACGCUUGG